rnacentral:rRNA from 1 species
UAGGGAAUCUUCGGCAAUGGGGGCAACCCUGACCGAGCAACGCCGCGUGAGUGAAGAAGGUUUUCGGAUCGUAAAGCUCUGUUGUAAGUCAAGAACGAGUGUGAGAGUGGAAAGUUCACACUGUGACGGUAGCUUACCAGAAAGGGACGGCUAACUACGUGCCAGCAGCCGCGGUAAUACGUAGGUCCCGAGCGUUGUCCGGAUUUAUUGGGCGUAAAGCGAGCGCAGGCGGUUUGAUAAGUCUGAAGUUAAAGGCUGUGGCUCAACCAUAGUUCGCUUUGGAAACUGUCAAACUUGAGUGCAGAAGGGGAGAGUGGAAUUCCAUGUGUAGCGGUGAAAUGCGUAGAUAUAUGGAGGAACACCGGUGGCGAAAGCGGCUCCCUGGUCUGUAACUGACGCUGAGGCUCGAAAGCGUGGGGAGCGAACAGGAUUAGAUACCCUGGUAGUCCACGCCGUAAACGAUGAGUGCUAGGUGUUGGGUCCUUUCCGGGAUUCAGUGCCGCAGCUAACGCAUUAAGCACUCCGCCUGGGGAGUACGACCGCAAGGUUG